rnacentral:rRNA from 1 species
GAUGAACGCUGGCGGCGUGCCUAAUACAUGCAAGUCGAGCGAACGGACGAGAAGCUUGCUUCUCUGAUGUUAGCGGCGGACGGGUGAGUAACACGUGGAUAACCUACCUAUAAGACUGGGAUAACUUCGGGAAACCGGAGCUCAUAGCGGAUAAUAUUUUGAACCGUGUGGUUCAACAGUGAAAGACGGUCUUGCUGUCACUUUUAGAUGGAUCCGAGCUGCAUUAGCUAGUUGGUAAGGUAACGGCUUACCAAGGCAACGAUGCCUAGCCGACCUGAGAGGGUGAUCAGCCACACUAGAACUGAGACACGGUCCAGACUCCGACGGGAGGCAGCAGUAGGGAAUCUUCCGCAAUGGGCGAAAGCCUGACGGAGCAACGCCGCGUGAGUGAUGAAGGUCUUCGGAUCGUAAAACUCUGUUAUUAGGGAAGAACAUAUGUGUAAGUAACUGUGCACAUCUUGACGGUACCUAAUCAGAAAGCCACGGCUAGCUACGUG